UGUAUUCAGGAUAAGUGAUGUCAGGGC
rnacentral:piRNA from 1 species